GUUGUAUAGUCAAGUAAUUAAGUGCAUGUGGUGGAUGCCUUGGCAGUCAGAGGCGAUGAAAGACGUGAUAGCCUGCGAAAAGCUCCGGGGAGGCGGCAAAUAUCCUUUGAUCCGGAGAUGUCUGAAUGGGGGAACCCACCUACUUUAAGGUAGGUAUUGCAACAUGAAUACAUAGUGUUGCAAGGCGAACGAGGGGAAGUGAAACAUCUCAGUACCCUUAGGAAAAGAAAUCAAUUGAGAUUCCCUCAGUAGCGGCGAGCGAACGGGGAUCAGCCCAUUAAGUUAUGUGUGUUUUAGUGGAACGCUCUGGGAAGUGCGAACGUAGAGGGUGAUAUUCCCGUACACGAAAGGGCACACAUAAUGAUGACGAGUAGGGCGAGGCACGUGAAACCUUGUCUGAAUAUGGGGGACCAUCCUCCAAGGCUAAAUACUCCUGACUGACCGAUAGUGAACCAGUACCGUGAGGGAAAGGCGAAAAGAACCCCUGUGAGGGGAGUGAAAUAGAUCCUGAAACCGCAUGCAUACAAGCAGUGGGAGCACCUUCGUGGUGUGACUGCGUACCUUUUGUAUAAUGGGUCAGCGACUUAUAUUCAGUAGCGAGGUUAACCGUAUAGGGGAGCCGUAGAGAAAUCGAGUCUUAAUAGGGCGUUUAGUUGCUGGGUAUAGACCCGAAACCAGGCGAUCUAUCCAUGAGCAGGUUGAAGGUUGGGUAACACUAACUGGAGGACCGAACCCACUGUCGUUGAAAAGCCAGGGGAUGACUUGUGGAUAGGGGUGAAAGGCUAAUCAAGCCUGGUGAUAGCUGGUUCUCCCCGAAAGCUAUUUAGGUAGCGCCUCGGACGAAUACCAUAGGGGGUAGAGCACUGUUUCGGCUAGGGGGUCAUCCCGACUUACCAAACCGAUGCAAACUCCGAAUACCUAUGAGUACUAUCCGGGAGACAGACUGCGGGUGCUAACGUCCGUAGUCAAGAGGAAAACAAUCCAGACCGCCAGCUAAGGCCCCAAAAUCAUAGUUAAGUGGGAAACGAUGUGGGAAGGCAUAGACAGCUAGGAGGUUGGCUUAGAAGCAGCCACCCUUUAAAGAAAGCGUAAUAGCUCACUAGUCGAGUCGGCCUGCGCGGAAGAUGUAACGGGGCUAAAACUAUGUGCCGAAGCUGCGGAUGUAUACUUUGUAUACGUGGUAGGGGAGCGUUCUGUAAGCCGAUGAAGGUGUGUUGAGAAGCAUGCUGGAGGUAUCAGAAGUGCGAAUGCUGACGUGAGUAACGACAAAACGGGUGAAAAACCCGUUCGCCGAAAGACCAAGGGUUCCAGUCCAACGUUAAUCGGGGCUGGGUGAGUCGACCCCUAAGGCGAGGCCGAAAGGCGUAGUCGAUGGGAAAAUGGUUAAUAUUCCAUUACUUCUGUGUAAUGCGAUGAGAGGACGGAGAAGGCUAAAUCAGCCUGGCGUUGGUUGUCCAGGUGAAAGGAUGUAGGCAUGUAUCUUAGGCAAAUCCGGGGUACUCUAUGCUGAGAUCUGAUAGCAAGCUGUACUUGUACAGCGAAGUGGUUGAUGCCAUGCUUCCAGGAAAAGUCUCUAAGCUUCAGUUACACAGGAAUCGUACCCGAAACCGACACAGGUGGUCAGGUCGAGUAGACCAAGGCGCUUGAGAGAACUCUGCUGAAGGAACUAGGCAAAAUGGUACCGUAACUUCGGGAGAAGGUACGCUGUUGUUGGUGAUGGAACUCGCUUCCUGAGCUGACGACAGCCGCAGAAACCAGGCCGCUGCAACUGUUUAUUAAAAACAUAGCACUCUGCAAACACGAAAGUGGACGUAUAGGGUGUGAUGCCUGCCCGGUGCUGGAAGGUUAAUUGAUGGGGUUAGCGUAAGCGAAGCUCUUGAUCGAAGCCCCAGUAAACGGCGGCCGUAACUAUAACGGUCCUAAGGUAGCGAAAUUCCUUGUCGGGUAAGUUCCGACCUGCACGAAUGGCAUAAUGAUGGCGGCGCUGUCUCCAGCAGAGGCUCAGUGAAAUCGAAAUCGCUGUGAAGAUGCAGUGUACCCGCGGCUAGACGGAAAGACCCCGUGAACCUUUACUGCAGCUUGACACUGAACUUUGACCUUACUUGUGUAGGAUAGGUGGGAGGCUUUGAAGCUGGAACGCUAGUUCCAGUGGAGCCGUCCUUGAAAUACCACCCUGGUAAUGUUGAGGUUCUAACUCUGUCCCGUGAUCCGGGACGAGGACCGUGUCUGGUGGGUAGUUUGACUGGGGCGGUCUCCUCCUAAAGAGUAACGGAGGAGUACGAAGGUGCGCUCAGCGUGGUCGGAAAUCACGCGUAGAGUAUAAAGGCAAAAGCGCGCUUAACUGCGAGACCCACAAGUCGAGCAGGUACGAAAGUAGGUCUUAGUGAUCCGGUGGUUCUGUAUGGAAGGGCCAUCGCUCAACGGAUAAAAGGUACUCUGGGGAUAACAGGCUGAUACCGCCCAAGAGUUCAUAUCGACGGCGGUGUUUGGCACCUCGAUGUCGGCUCAUCUCAUCCUGGGGCUGAAGCAGGUCCCAAGGGUAUGGCUGUUCGCCAUUUAAAGAGGUACGCGAGCUGGGUUUAGAACGUCGUGAGACAGUUCGGUCCCUAUCUACCGUGGGCGCUGGAAAUUUGAGAGGAUCUGCUCCUAGUACGAGAGGACCAGAGUGGACGAACCUCUGGUGUACCGGUUGUGACGCCAGUCGCAUCGCCGGGUAGCUAUGUUCGGAAGGGAUAACCGCUGAAAGCAUCUAAGCGGGAAGCCUACCUCAAGAUAAGAUUUCCCUAGGACUUUAUGUCCUCUAAAGAGCCGUUCGAGACUAGGACGUUGAUAGGUUGGAUGUGGAAGCAUAGUGAUAUGUGAAGCUGACCAAUACUAAUUGCUCGUGAGGCUUGACUAUACAACACCCAAGCAGUUG
rnacentral:rRNA from 4 species